CAAUGAUGAAGAAAAUACAAAUGACGAAAUGUUUAAUAAUUAACGUGCAUGCAAAUAUGAUUAAUGAUUUGAUACCUGGAUACGUACAUACUAUCAUGGUAUCAUACUUUAUUAAUUAAUAUUUAUUCACUAACUGUAAAUGACGUAAUUACAUCAAUUAUACAUAAAAAAGAUCCUCAUGAUCAAUUAUCGGAUCACCUAAAACUAGUAGUAAAAAACAUAUGUUGAAAACACAUUGUGUUUUUGUGCAAAAUUAAACGUACUGUGUGACAGUUUUUACAUAUAAUAAAGUUACGUUUACAUAUUUGAUCGGGCUGAUUAUUUUGUUUACAUAUUAGAAAAAAAAUAGCAGCGUCGAAGCCAGCUAUAACAACAGGUCAUGUUAUGCAAUUUUGUAAUGAUUUGCAUUGUUCAAACCCUUAGAAAUGUAAGGAGCGAAAAGUCGCUCUUCACAUUAGGCUGCCUAGAUUAUCUGAUUUGGGAAGACAUUGGCCUCGAAAUGGCGGAUAUCGACCUCUCGUGAGAAAUGCUAAUUAAAUCAAUCAGUUAAAUGCCCGAAACGUAUUAAAUUAAGACACUCUGACGUUUCAAGAGAGUUCGGUAGGCCUACUCCCCAAUAAGUCGGAACUUAUUGGAAUUUAAAAACCAAAACCAGCCUAUAAUUGAUCUCUAUGUUUAAACGCAACUUAAAUGUAAUAUACAUGUUGUGCAGAAUUCUAGUGCAUUUGCAGUUUGCGUUUAUGCUUGAUAUUAUAGUAAAUAUCUAGGUGUUAUGUGCGUCAGCUAUAUUUUACAGCAUAUUUUACAAUAAAAAAUACAGAACGUAUAUAAUAAAGGUCAGAAAAUAUCC